UUACGGUCAAAUCACGCUGAAACACCGGUUCUCGUUCGAUCACCGAAGUUAAGCAUCGUAGAGUCAGGUCAGUACUA